GAUGUAUAUCUAUUAUCUAUGAAUAUGACCAUAGAUAAUAGAAUGUGACGGCAAAUGGCAGCAAUCAAACUGAUCCAUUAAAAAUUGCAUUAACAUAGUCUAAACAUUGUUGUUACGUGUGUUUAUAUUCCUUCAUUAUUAUUUAUACAUUAAUUACUGGUGAAUAGAAAUAAGUUCUAAACCUUUAAAUAAAUUUAUAAUUCAGGCUUCUUUAAAUAAUUGUAAUAUUUGCCAGCUGCAAAUUAAAGAACUUGUGUAGUAAGAGAAUCCAUGGAUGAUGGAAUAACUGUGGAACAUUAAUGAAAGUCAUAUUUUGUGUCCACUGUGUGAUAAUAAAAGUUGUCUGAAAGUUUGAGAUGUCUCCAAGCAAAGUAUGGGCAGUCAACUUUAAAGUAUGAUGAUAAUGAUUUUUUUGACGUGGGAUGUCUGACAUGGUAUCCAUUCUCAAUUUGGUUUGCUUUCCACAUGUAAACAAUGGAACACAUUCUACAGUUA